UAAUGACACUUGACCGUCUUGAGACAACACCGAUGGACGUAACCAUGCCAAGUGGGCGAGGAACCGUCGGUCGGAUGACUAUGAACUGUUGUGUAAAGAUGGGAGACGUGUCAACAUAGACAAGUUCAGCGAGUGCCAUCUUGGGGUUGUCCCAGCCAAUGCUAUUGUCACUUCCAAAUUCAAGAGUGCACAAGAGCGUGAGAUUUUCUGGAAUUUGGUCAACUACGGACAACAGUUCUUCUCUUCGGACAUUGAUGGCGACUUCCACAUGUUUGACUCUGGGACAUGGUACUCGGACUUGAUGUUUACGGAUGCAGCUGUGCGUCUCAUGAGGAUCCCCGACAACAGACAGAACUAUCUCGACUGGCUGGGAGAAGACUUUGUUGCCCAGAUAGAAAACCUUCAAAAAUAUACAUGUGUGAACCCCUCGCGAGCCUUCUCAGUUUCCCCCAGCUUCCUGUUUGUUGCAGCAUUAGUUGCUGUUGUACAGUUUUUCAAGUUAUAGUGUCACUAGAAUAACUUUGGACCUUUUGGAAUCUAAUACCAAUCUCCAAAACAACGUAAAUCUCUGUUUACACUUACUAGUAGUUAGAACAGAAUGAAUGUAAAUGUUAUUAAAAGGUACUGAAGUCAUCAAAUCAAAA